GGGUGAACAUGGGGGGGCAGCCUGAUGCAGCAACGCCGCGUGAAGGAUGAAGGUUUUCGGAUUGUAAACUUCUUUAGUCAGGGACGAAUAAAUGACGGUACCCGAAGAAUAAGCCACGGCUAACUACGUGCCAGCAGCCGCGGUAAUACGUAGGUGGCGAGCGUUGUCCGGAAUUACUGGGUGUAAAGGGCGUGUAGGCGGGAAUGUAAGUCAGAUGUGAAAUCCCAGGGCUUCACCCUGGAGCUGCAUCUGAAACUAUGUUUCUUGUGUGUCGGAGAGGAAAGCGGAAUUCCUAGUGUAGCGGUGAAAUGCGUAGAUAUUAGGAGGAACACCAGUGGCGAAGGCGGCUUUCUGGACGAUAACUGACGCUGAGGCGCGAAAGCGUGGGGAGCAAACAGGAUUAGAUACCCUGGUAGUCCACGCUGUAAACGAUGGAUACUAGGUGUAGGAGGUAUCGACCCCUUCUGUGCCGGAGUUAACACAAUAAGUAUCCCACCUGGGGAGUACGGCCGCAAGGUUGAAAC
rnacentral:rRNA from 1 species